rnacentral:rRNA from 1 species
CUCGUAGGCGGUUCGUCGCGUCCGGUGUGAAAGUCCAUCGCCUAACGGUGGAUCUGCGCCGGGUACGGGCGGGCUGGAGUGCGGUAGGGGAGACUGGAAUUCCCGGUGUAACGGUGGAAUGUGUAGAUAUCGGGAAGAACACCAAUGGCGAAGGCAGGUCUCUGGGCCGUUACUGACGCUGAGGAGCGAAAGCGUGGGGAGCGAACA